rnacentral:rRNA from 1 species
CCUACGGGGGGCAGCAGUGGGGAAUAUUGGACAAUGGGCGAAAGCCUGAUCCAGCCAUGCCGCGUGUGUGAAGAAGGCCUUCGGGUUGUAAAGCACUUUCAGUGGGGAAGAAAGCCUUGGGGCUAAUACCCUCGAGGAAGGACAUCACCCACAGAAGAAGCACCGGCUAACUCCGUGCCAGCAGCCGCGGUAAUACGGAGGGUGCGAGCGUUAAUCGGAAUUACUGGGCGUAAAGCGCGCGUAGGCGGUCUGAUAAGCCGGUUGUGAAAGCCCCGGGCUCAACCUGGGAACGGCAUCCGGGACUGUCAGGCGAGAGGGCAGGAGAGGAAGGGAGAAUUCCCGGUGUAGCGGUGAAAUGCGUAGAGAUCGGGAGGAAUACCAGUGGCGAAGGCGGCCUUCUGGACUGACACUGACGCUGAGGUGCGAAAGCGUGGGUAGCAAACAGGAUUAGAUACCCCGGUAGUC